GGAGGGUACAAGCGUUAAUCGGAAUUACUGGGCGUAAAGCGCGCGUAGGCGUUAAGUAAGUUGGAUGUGAAAGCCCUGGGCUCAACCUAGGAACUGCAUUCAAAACUAUUUAACUAGAGUACGAGAGAGGAGAGUAGAAUUUCUGGUGUAGCGGUGAAAUGCGUAGAUAUCAGAAGGAAUACCAAUGGCGAAGGCAGCUCUCUGGAUCGUCACUGACGCUAAGGUGCCGAAACGGUGGGUAGCAAACAGGAUUAGAUACCCUGGUAGUCCACGCCGUAAACGAUGAGAACUAGCCGUUGGGAGAAUUAACUCUCAGUGGCGAGUAACGCAUUAAGUCUCCGCCUGGGACUACUGGCCGCAACGUAAAACUCAAAUGAAUUGACGGGGGCCCGCACAAGCGGUGGAUCAUGUGGUUUAAUUCGUAGCAACCGGAGGAACCUUACCUUACCUUGAAUCCAGCGAAGUCCUAGAGAUAGAAAUGUGCCUUCGGGAACGCUGUGACAGGUGCUGCAUGGCUGUCGUCAGCUCGUGUCGUGAGAUGUAUGGUUAAGUCCAGUAACGAGCGCAACCCCUAUCCUUAUUUGCCAGCGCAUAAUGGCGGGAACUAUAAGGAGACUGCCGGUCAUAAACCGGAGGAAGGCGGGGACGAGGUCAAGUCAUCAUGGCCCUUAUGGGUAGGGCUACACACGUGAUACAAUGGAUGGUACAGAGGGUCGCCAAGCCGCGAGCUGGUGCCAAACCCUUAAAACCAUUCUUAGUCCGGAUUGGAGUCUGCAACUCGACUCCAUGAAGUUGGAAUCGCUAGUAAUCGCGAAUCAGAAUGUCGCGGUGAAUACGUUCUCGGGCCUU
rnacentral:rRNA from 1 species